GGCUGUGACACGCUAGACCAUACAUGGCUGAGCUUGGACUGGUUGGUGAUGGCCCGAACAGCUAUCAGAUUUGGCUUGGAGGAACACCUAAUCAAACUCAAUCAGCAAGGACUUUUAU